UACUCUCGGGAAUGGAUAUCUUGGCUCUCGUAUUGAUGAAAAACAUAGUGAAAUACAAUACUUGGUGUGAAUUGCAGAAUCUCGUGAACCAUUGACUCUUUGAAUGCAAGUUGCGCCUGAAGCCAUUAGGCCGAGGGCACGUCUGCCUGGACAUCA